GAAAAGAACUUUGAAAAGAGAGUUAAAUAGUACGUGAAAUUGUUGAAAGGGAAACGAUUGAAGUCAGUCGUACUGGCGAAAAAUCAACUACUCGAGUGAGUACUUGUGGGCGUACGUGAGCUUCACGGCCGCGUUGUUUGCAAUGUUCGUGCUCUUGUGGUGUACUUUUUCGUGUGGUAGGUCAAUGUCGGUUUUGAACGCCAUAAAAUGAUUGGGGGAAGGUAGCUCCUUCGGGAGUGUUAUAGCCCUUGGUAGAUGUGAUGUCUGGGAUUGAGGAUUGCAAUGAAUACCCUUUGGGGCUAGCCGCCUGAUCUCUAAUUGGUAUUGGGUUACGGAUAGCAUGCUGACCGUAAUCUAAUUAUUGGUUAAAAGGUUAGAGCGUGCAUAAAUUCAUUAAGGA
rnacentral:rRNA from 1 species